UGGCGAAUGAACAGGGAUAAGCUCAGCGUGAAAAUUGAAGCCUUUGGCUUUGAGUUGUAGCCUUGCGAAGCAACACUAACAGAGGUGCAGGUGUAGGCCUCUUGGAAAAGAGCAGCUGUGCAGGUGAGAAUCCUUUGUGUCAUCUGCAGUCCUCUGUGCACAGUGUGCUCUCUGAGAGUCACGCUCCUUGGAAAUGGAGCGCCAAGUGGGUGGUAAGUUUCAUCUAAAGCUACACAUUGGCUUGAGACCGAUAGCAAACAAGUACCAUGAGGGAAAGGUGAAAAGGACUUUGGAAAGAGAGUUAAAAGUGCCUGAACUAGCUGAAUGGGAAGCGAAUGGAACCAGCAAUCUUGGCUGGAUUGUUGCGCGCCACUGUGAAUGCCAGUCAGUGCAGUGAGAGCAUGCUGGUUGGCAGGAAGCAGUUGGUGUGCAAUGUCUCGUGCCUUGAGAGUCAGUGUCUUUCUACUGCCAUGGAAAACUCUUGGAAAAUAACAAUUAACCUGUGGGUUUGUGAAUGUUCUGAGAAGAACCCAGCUGUAGACAGUCCAUGCAUGUCUGGGUGUCUCCUUGGCUCCUGCUGAGGUUCCCUGACCUGCAAAUGGUGACACAAUGGUUCUAUUUGACCCGUCUUGAAACACGGACCAAGGAGUCUAACACAUGUGCAAGUUCAUAGGUCAAAGCCUGUGUGCAUGACAAAAGUGACUGCUACGAUCUGUGCACUAGCAACCGACUGAUUAACUGGAUGAUGUUUGAGUAUGAGCACUUGUGUUAGGACCCGAAAGAUGGUGAACUAUGCCUGAGAAGGGCAAACUCAGGGGAAACUCUGAUGGAGGCUCGUAGCGAUACUGACGUGCAAAUCGUUCGUCAUACUUGGGUAUAGGGGCGAAAGACUAAUCGAACCAUCUAGUAGCUGGUUCCCUCCGAAGUUUCCCUCAGGAUAGCUGGAGUUGCAUAGUUUUAUCGGGUAAAGCGAAUGAUUAGAGGAAUCGGGGGCAUGUUGUCCUCGACCUAUUCUCAAACUUUAAAUGGGUAAGAUCCAGUGGUUACUUUGGUGAACUUCUGGGACAAAUAACAACUCUAAGUGGGCCAUUUUUGGUAAGCAGAACUGGCGAUGAGGGAUGAACCUAACGUUGGGCUAAGGUGCUUAACUGCACGCUCAUCAGAUACCAGAAAGGGUGUUGGUUCAUUUUAACAGCAGGACGGUGGUCAUGGAAGUCGAAACCCGCUAAGGAGUGUGUAACAACUCACCUGCCGAAUGGACUAGCCCUGAAAAUGGAUGGCGCUAAAGCGGGUGACCGAUGCCCAACCACUG
rnacentral:rRNA from 1 species